AUGAACGCUGGCGGCAUGCCUAAUACCUGCAAGUCGCGCGAACAGACGAGGAGCUUACUCCUCUGACGUUAGCGGCGGACGGGUGAGUAACACGUGGAUAACCUACCUAUAAGACUGGGAUAACUUCGGGAAACCGGAGCUAAUACCGGAUAACAUGUUGAACCGCAUGGUUCAACAGUGAAAGACGGUCUUGCUGUCACUUAUAGAUGGAUCCGCGUCGCAUUAGCUAGUUGGUAAGGUAACGGCUUACCAAGGCAACGAUGCGUAGCCGACCUGAGAGGGUGAUCGGCCACACUGGAACUGAGACACGGUCCAGACUCCUACGGGAGGCAGCAGUAGGGAAUCUUCCGCAAUGGGCGAAAGCCUGACGGAGCAACGCCGCGUGAGUGAAGAAGGUCUUCGGAUCGUAAAACUCUGUUAUUAGGGAAGAACAAAUGUGUAAGUAACUAUGCACGUCUUGACGGUACCUAAUCAGAAAGCCACGGCUAACUACGUG
rnacentral:rRNA from 1 species